rnacentral:rRNA from 1 species
UACAGAGGGUGCGAGCGUUAAUCGGAAUUACUGGGCGUAAAGCGUGCGUAGACGGUUAUUUAAGUCGGGUGUGAAAGCCCCGGGCUCAACCUGGGAAUUGCAUUCGAGACUGAAUAGCUAGGGUACGGUAGAGGGAAGUGGAAUUUCCGGUGUAGCGGUGAAAUGCGUAGAUAUCGGAAGGAACAUCAGUGGCGAAAGCGGCUUCCUGGACCAGUACCGACGUUCAGGCACGAAAGCGUGGGGAGCAAACAGGA